rnacentral:rRNA from 1 species
AUACGGAGGGUGCAAGCGUUGUUCGGAAUCACUGGGCGUAAAGGGCGCGCAGGCGGUUUGGUAAGUCAGAUGUGAAAGCCCACGGCUCAACCGUGGAAGUGCAUUUGAAACUGCCAGACUUGAGUACCAGAGGGGAAAGUGGAAUUCCCGGUGUAGAGGUGAAAUUCGUAGAUAUCGGGAGGAAUACCGGUGGCGAAGGCGACUUUCUGGCUGGAUACUGACGCUGAGGCGCGAAAGCGUGGGGAGCAAACAGGAUAAGAAACCCGUGUAGUCC